UUCUCAGCACAAAGGAGAUUUAUUUGCCC
rnacentral:piRNA from 1 species